rnacentral:piRNA from 1 species
UGAGGACGUAACCAUUGAUUGUCUGGCCAUU